CGUAUUUUCCGCCGCCGCCGAAGCUUCGAGGAAGCCGCCGACCGUUCGCGCUGCGCCACACCACCGCGAGCUGCUGUUCGGUUUCGCCGGAGCUCCGAGCCCCCUUGUCUGCUGUUCGUCCCUGCUCCAAGAGAGCAGAGAACUCGUUCCUCGGAGCUCAGUAAGGACGAUAUCAAGGACAUAAGAAGAGGAUUAUUAUUAUUAUUCUGCAAUCAAGGUACUGCUGGGGACGAUGGUACUGCGUAGUGGCAAGGAUUACCACCUUAUUAAAUCAUCUAGUAAUAGUGCUACUAACUUGUAAGGUUAACUUAACUAGAAUGUAAGACCAUAUGCUUUAAUAUAAGUUAUCGUUGUUAUGUCAAGUAAACGUUAACGUUGUCUAC